GACGAACGCUGGCGGCGUGCUUAACACAUGCAAGUCGAACGGAAAGGCCCUGCUUUUGUGGGGUGCUCGAGUGGCGAACGGGUGAGUAACACGUGAGUAACCUGCCCUUGACUUUGGGAUAACUUCAGGAAACUGGGGCUAAUACCGGAUAGGAGCUCCUGCUGCAUGGUGGGGGUUGGAAAGUUUCGGCGGUUGGGGAUGGACUCGCGGCUUAUCAGCUUGUUGGUGGGGUAGUGGCUUACCAAGGCUUUGACGGGUAGCCGGCCUGAGAGGGUGACCGGCCACAUUGGGACUGAGAUACGGCCCAGACUCCUGCGGGAGGCAGCAGUGGGGAAUAUUGCACAAGGGGCGGAAGCCUGAUGCAGCAACGCCGCGUGCGGGAUGACGGCCUUCGGGUUGUAAACCGCUUUCGCCUGUGACGAAGCGUGAGUGACGGUAAUGGGUAAAGAAGCACCGGCUAACUACGU
rnacentral:rRNA from 1 species